UCAUGCACUUUGUUCUAACCCUAGAGCCAAUAGCCCACCAUUUUUUUUUCCAAACCCUAAAAACCAAAACCCUAAAAUCGGGCAGCCUUGUUUUUCCCGAUUUCCGACCAAAAUUACGACUGCCCUCCGCCGGAAUUUUAUAUCCCCAGAAAGCUCUUUCCGUCACGGAUCCAACGCCGCCGGCCUCACCCUGAGAACCGGCCGGAAAGUCUCCGAACCGGCCGCCGGAAAAUUCCAGACCGCCGCCGCUACCGACCACCGGUUCACCACCUUCCCUUGCUCCGAUCAACCUGAAAUUUUGACAGAAGCUUUCCCAUCCAGAGCUGCUCCUCCUGUCAAAUUUUCAGCCCCAAAUUCGAAGUAUAAGUAGGCGAAACGUUAUUUCUCCUCUCGGCAGCCUUUAGAAAGGUAUGUUUUGAAACCUUAAACUCUUCCAAAUUCAAUAACUCGGGGAGGAUAAAAUCUUUUCCUCCCUUCUCCAUCUCCAUUCUAUGCUUGGGAUUUUGUGUGUGCAGGUACCAAAAAUCCCGGAAUUUUAUUCGCGGGUCAAGAGUAUGUUGGAUCACUCUUGUUUCUUUGUCCGGGUUGUGUUUGAUCAACCCCGACCUUUCACCGGAUUGUGUUUGAUCAAUCCGAGGCCUUUUUCCGAAUUGUGUUUGAUCAAUUCGCGGCUUUUCCGGAUUGUGUAUGGUCAAUCCGAAGGACAAACCAUUAAAAGCAUCGUUUGUGACCUCUAUCGAGUCUCAUAACAGCUUGGUUUUGUAUGCAAGAGCAAUGUAACAUUCUGCUCCUUUGAGUUUUGACGUACUAGAUGCCUAAGGCGGAUCUUCACUUGGUAUCUGUGGAACCUUUCAUUGGAAAGGAUUAAACCACAUGUUUUGACUCCCAGGCUAACAAGCCUAGAUGCCGAGAUUUCACAUCUCAUGCGCUCAAAGUUUUUGAAGCGCCACAUCGACAAAAGCCUUCAAUGGCAACCUGUGCAAAAAGUAAUGACCACAAAGUACUGUGGAAUGCACUCAUGGAGCAUUUCUCGAAACGUUCAUAUAACUCUACUUGUUGAGUUAUUAGUC
rnacentral:lncRNA from 1 species